rnacentral:rRNA from 1 species
GCGGAGCGUCCCCUAUCAAAAAAUGCGUGCAGGUAUUUCCGAGAACUCCAGGGAGACUGCCGGUGACAAACCGGGGGAAGGUGGGGAUGACGUCAGGUCAUCAUGGCCCUUACGGCCAGGGCUACACACGUGCUACAAUGGCGCGUACAGAGGGCUGCCAACUCGCGAGAGUGAGCCAAUCCCUUAAAACGCGUCGUAGUCCGGAUCGGAGUCUGCAACUCGACUCCGUGAAGUCGGAAUCGCUAGUAAUCGCGAAUCAUAAUGUCUCGCGUGAAUACGUUCCCGGGCCGUUGUUCUUUUUCGCCCGUAUCACGAUUGCUAGGAAUUUAAAAGUUAGGGUUUUGAUU